rnacentral:tRNA from 1 species
CAGGGUAUGGCUGAGAUAGACAAGCAUCUCCCUUACACUGAGAAGACAUCCAUGCAAAGUUGGAUUACCCCUGA